rnacentral:lncRNA from 1 species
GGAGAAGCAGCUGAGGGAACCGGGGCUGUUCGGUCUGGAGAAGAGGAGGCUCAGGGGAGACCCUAUCGCUCUCCUCACAGGAAGUGACGGUCAGCCUCUUCUCCCACAUACAGAAGAGGAUGAAAGAGAAUGGCCUCAAGCUGCGUCAGAGGAGAUUCACGUAGGAUAUCAGGAAAAAAUUCUCUGGAAGAGUGGUGAAGUACCGGCAUAGGCUGCCCACGGAAGUGGUGGGGUCACCGCCCCGGGAGGCGUUCAAUAAACGAGGAGAUGUGGCGCUACGGGACAUGGCUACGGGGCGUGGUGGGGCCGGGCUGACAGCUGGACUAGAGAUGAUUUUAGUGGUCUUUUACAACCUCCACCGUUCUGCGACUCUCCUAUGGCUGUAAGCACAAGCACGCUCCCUGUCACCUCAGCAUCCAGACACAGCACCGCAGAAGCAGCAGAUCAUUUACGAGCCAGCGUAAGUGGAAUAGCUCAAGUGCUACAGUUCCCCGCCCAGCGCUACCGGCGAGGACGGAGCGGGACCCCCGGCCGCCGGGACGGGGCUCAGGUGCGAUAGCCCAGCAGGCAGCCGGGGCACGCGGCAGCGCGGAGUCUCCCCAGGGCCGCCCGGCGGAGCUGCGGUGUCGGGCGGGCGAGGCAGAGGCGGCCCUCUCCGCGCGGAGCGCGCUCCCGGCGGCUGGCGGGGACGCGCCGCCACCGCCCCCACGUGCGCGCCUCCGCCGGCGUAGCGCCCCUCUCCCCCCGGUCCGGCCCCCGCGCGCCGCCGCUGCCCUGCGCGCUGCGCCUCGCGCUGCCCCGCCGCCAGCCCGCAGGGGGUCGGGCUGCGCGCACACGUGUCCCCGCCCCCUCCCGCACUCACCCGCCGCCCUGUACGUGCUGCCCCCGUCACAGGGGGUGGGGGGGAUUGGGCCGGGCGGAGUCGCGCGUCGCUCUCACGUCAGCGCUGAUGCAGCCGCGCCGCCGCGGGGGCGCUGAGGAAAUGGCGUCUGCGGCGACUCCCAGCCCCAGGGGCCGCGGAAGGAGGCGGAGCUCGAGCACAGGCGGAGGCGCCGAGUGGCCGCGGGGCUCCCAACGGCCGCCAACCGCCACCGCGCGCCCUCCGGUAGCGCCCCUGAUUGGCCGCGGGGGGGGACGAGCCCUCCGCUACGGGCGGGGCCUCGCGCCGCGCUCGGGGCGCCGCCAUUCCGCGGGGCUGGAGGCCGCGUCGGGGCCGCUGGGCGGAGGCUGCCCGACGCGCUAUGGCCGGGUGUGGUGCCGGCCGCGCUCCGGCGGGCGAUAAGGGCGGGUGGCCGCGGUGCUCCAGCGGCCGCCAUUGUGGCCUGCUGCGGGAUAUGGCGCUGCCACCCACCGCUGCCGUUCCCUCGGCGGUGCCGGAGCCGAGAGGCGCGGGGAGCUGACGUGACCCUUCUGUUACACUUGCGUCAGACACUAGGCUACAGAGUAGCUUCAAUGACACGUCCGUACAUCAAUCAGUCUGUGUUCUGAAGUUACAUAUUUACCCAUGGAUCGUUAUUUUUUUUUUUUUCUGUGAGAAACUAUGUAGCAGCGUUCCAAGUAAGGAAGCAAAGCGCAGGUUACAUCCACGAGCCGUUGCAGCUGAAGAAUUGGAGGACGUGUCUGUCAGAGCCGGUGGUGUGUCCAUCUAGGUUAAACAUUUGGCCUUGUUCAUGGAGUGAAAAGAAACUAAAUAUUGAUUUCCUGUGUUGGAAAAAAAAUGUAACUCUUAUCUCUGACUUCGUGAAAAGUGAAUUACAUUUAUCUGCAAAAGCUAUCGCCUUUGACCGCUGAGGUCUGUAAAUUUGCCUCACAGAAGCUAUUUAUUUAGCUCAGCAAUUGAAGUCGCAAUGCAGUGCAAAGAAUACGUUUUUGUGUCCCUGGUGCUGAUGAGAGCUUUCAGUUUACAUUCUCCAUUUCCUUCGCUGAGAUAUUGAACAACAGCCCCUUCCUGUUUUGAGUUCAGUUUCCUUCCUUUGGAUUGUUGCAUAUAUUUUUAUGUGUCUUCUCAGUUUUAAAUAGUUGUUCUUCCCAUGGUUAAUAGCCUUCUGCUAUUGUAGCUAACCCAGAGGGCAUGACUUACGAACAUUCCUAAGAAGAUAUGAAAGCCCCUGGUGAAUUAGAAUCCAUCUCAGAGGAUAAUAACGUAAUCAAAUGAGCAGAUGAGUAAAAAUACUGUGAAUAACUGUGCUGAUGCCUUUGGAAGAAAUCCUGCCUUUUCCCAGUGAUAGCAAAAAGCCAACAGUAGCUAUAGAACAAGAAAUUUCUUGAGAAGAUGUUCAAUAAAGGAAACCAAUGCAAUGAGUUGCAUACAGUGAAUUUCCAUGGAACCCUUGUGAAUUUGGAGAAAGUUUACAUUUUCUAAAUAAUUGAAAAAUCAAGCUCCAGUCCGAGAAACAUCUGGUCAGAGGGCUGAGUGAGCUGCCAAAGGGAUUUAGUCUUUGAGAUAUAAAGGUGAUUAACCAGCUUCAGCUCUGGAAUACUUGACAUGGCUUACUGAGGCCGGUAGUGUUCUGCCCGGGGUGAGUCUGCCUGGCAGUGAGGGGGCUGGAGGAGGAAGGUAACAGUCGGGAAGCAUUGCAUUCUCACUGUGUUGGGGUAGUAUAUUAUUAACUGAGGCCGGAACGAGCUUUGCUACAAAAAUCAUUGUGACUAAAAUAAUUCUAAAAUGGCUCUAACUGGGAUCAAUCCCUAAAGUGUACCAAUUUAAUUUCAAAUACUAAGAGCAAAAGUAAUACAUAAGAAGAGAACACAGAACAUCCGUGAUUAUUACCAUAAUUUAAACAAGAUGGUUCUGAACAUAAAUUUGAAAUCCAGGCACUUCACCACCAUCAGACUGACUACCUGGGUCAUCUUCCUCUUGAAAAUGUCUGAUCUGAUGCUGCCUUGCAAAUUCAAGGAAAUACAAGCAAUUCAGCAAAGGUUACUUUUUUUCCUACAUUUUUUGUCUUUUUAAGUAGCGUAACUCAGUGCCAGCCUAAGCAGCCGCAGUUGCUUCUGGCAUCACAUUCCCACCACCUCAGUCAUGCUGAGGCAACCCAGAAUCCUGUAUGGGAAGUAGUCUGAGUUAGAAAUGGUACAUCAAGAAGAAAGAGUUGCUUUUGGCCUGGAUGAAUUCCUAAGUUGGUCCUCUGCACCAUCACACAGAGAAGUACUACCUUGACUGAGGUGUUAAUGCACAAGCAAGGAGUUGGAGUGACUUCAGUUGGCACUGACAAUGAAAGAAUCAUGACGUACUUUGCAAAGAAUGUAAAUACAUCACCAGUGCAUGUGACGUCAGUAUGAACACCAUCUACGUAUUUCAUGAAAUCAACUGAUUUCACAUAUCAGGCCUUCACACUUAUUAUCCAAAUAAGUUUUUUAAAGAAUGAGUUUAAUAGAACUUGGUGCAUUUCAAUUAUAGUGUUAUGAGACACAUAGUUUUCUUGUAAAACAAUACAGAGAGUGUAAUGACAUAAGUAAAGACAAAAAGGGUUAUGCUGCUUAUAUAAUUUGUAGAUUUCUUUUUGACGACAUCCUAGACAUUUGAAGGUUAUGUAGAUCAGGCUGACAAAAAUAGACUGGCAUUCUAAUUUAAAUAAUACUUCUAUUUAAUAAAUUUGCUUUAUAAAUAAUGUUCCCAAUAUUGCCCUCUUGACUGAUGGUUUGUUUUAUUUUUUUCCUGUGAAUUUUUUCAUCUUACAAUGAUUUGGCGCAUUACAUACACAUCUUCUCAGUCUAUUCCACACCUACACACCCUAAAAAUUAAAGAAAUUGAAGACCGGUGCAAUUUAGCUUUUAGAUAAAACAACAACAACAACAAACAAACAAACAAAAAAAACCACCUUUUAUUGAGUUCAUCUCUGAAAUGCCCUACAGGCUAUUUUUAUUAAGAAGAUAAUAAGUCAUGGGUAGUUUAUUACACCAGAAAUAAUCCCCAAGAAAUUUGUUUUCCUAUAACACUUAAUAAAGCUCACCAUUAGGAUUGUCUAACCAUGCUGUUAUUCUUUACUUAUGCAGUCUGAUGCUUGUUGUCUACAUCUUUGUUUCCGUAAAGACUGUGUGCUUAUAAUAAUUGUCACUGGUAACAAAUCAGUACCUUUGUGGAUACGUAAACCUAGAAGAUUAGGGAGGGACUCCUUAAUCAGGGAGUUAUCUUGGAGUCCCAUGGUCAGACAUGGAGAAAUGGCUUUGAAGUAAAAGAGGGGAGACAUGGGCUAGGUAUAAGUAAGAAAUUCUUCUCAAUGAGGGUAGUAAGGCCCUGGAACAGGCUGCCAGAGAAGCUGUGGAUGCCCCAUCCCUGGAAAUCUUCAAGGCCAAGUUAGAUGGGAUCCUGGGCAGCCUGAUCUAGCCAUAGGUGUCCCUGCACAUGGUUGAACUAGAUGAUCUUUAAGAUCUCUUCCAACCCAAACCAUUGUAUGGUUCCAUGAAUUGCCAAAAAUGAACUGCACUGUGGAUCUCUAAAUGGACAAUUCAAGUUGUUGAAGAUCUCUACUCAUACUCUUUGCCUCUGAAAGAAUAGAAGGGCAAGUGCAGAACCUCCACUGUGGUCACAGGGAAGUGAAGUCACAACACAGAGCCAUUGUUUUCACAACUUAUUUUGCAAGCGUGUGAGCCAGAAGUAACCAAUACCCUCAGGAUGCAACAGGAUGGCCUGUAUGAAGCAACAUGUUAGGCAAGAGGUAUACUGUAAAGAGUAUGAAAUCUAAUAUACUGUAAUGACAAAAUAUAAAGUUAAUAAUUUAUUUUAACUUUUUUUUUUUUUUAAUAAAUUGCUUUCAGGGAGUAUAUUUUUGGAAGUAUCAUUACUUUGAUUUUCCUGGGUUUGUAAUGAUUUCAUUUUAGAUAAUAACUUACAAUAAUGCUACAGUAUUUUAUUCUCAUAAGCAUAGAUGUACAGUCUGAAACACAACAUUUCAAAGCUUUAUGAGAAGAGAAAUUGAUAAAAAUCACAGUGUCUGUUUCUCAUCUACAAUUCCUCUGUCCAGACUCCAUCACUGUUAUCUCUGCACAAUGGUGCCAGGUAGAAGAAAAAUACAGGGAACUUCUUAAGUGCUAACAGUUGGGCAAAUAGCUGGAUAUUCUGUGAAUUGUGAUGUACUCAUUGAUUGCAUGCUUGUUUCAUGAAAGAAAUGAUUAUAGUGGAAAAAUAAAACUCCGGUUUGUUAACAGUGUAAGGUGGAUUGAAUGUUUGGAGGAUUGCCUAGCAAUUUCAAGAUACAUAAAUGAUGGUAUUUCUGCAGCAGAAAAUCUCAAUGGCAAUUGAGACAUGAUAUAUUAAAAAAAAUACUGCAGAAUAAUGAAUAUUCCCUAUAUAAUAAUUUCCUCACUUAUAGCAUGGACAUAAUAUGUACUUCACAGUACUCCUAACUACUUGCAGUUUAUUACAGUUUGCACUUAUCUGGUGGAAAGUGGUUUUGUAACUCACAACUUGAAUAUAAAUUCAAGUCUUCUUGCAAACAAUGCUAUUUAAAAUUUGAAUAAAGCAAACUGUACCAUUGAAAGUCUUCUGAAUAGGUUGCAUAAGAGAACUACAUAGAAAACAGAGUUUACUUGCACAAAAACUUCCUGAAAGGAUUAAAAAGGCUCAAAUAAUUUAAUGUGAAUAUUCUGUACCACAGGAAUGUGCAUACUGUCAACUGCUUACUGUUGUACAGUCAUGCUUUGCAGAAGGUUUAUGCUGUAAAGCAAAGUAAACCAAUGUAAUAACACAGGUGAAAUUAAGACAGACGCUGAGAAUGCACCUCAAAUAUACAUGAUCACCAGGUGAAUAUCAGCCAUUCACACAAUGCAAUAAAAUAGAAACACAUAAAGAUCUCAUGUUCCUUCAAAGGAACGUAAUCUAAGUGUGAAAAACUGUGAAAAUUAACAGUCUAUCUGUAGAGUAGAUAUUUUAGCACCUCUAAGUUGGUUUUGGUGGGGGAAGCUGUAUGUUUUUUGUUGCUGGCAGAUGAUCAUAUAUGACUGUGAAGUUCAAGAAGGAAGAACGAAAAAUGAAUAACAGAAGUAAGUGAACAAAUGGAGGUGUCUGGGUAAGAAAAGAGUAGGAAGAGAUAUAAGUGAAAAAUAAUUACAUAGACUUUUUGUCAGUAUAACAGGAGAUUAUCAAGCUAUUAGCUGUGUGGUUUAUCUGACAGAGUUGUUGUAUUUCUUUCAGUCAAGAGUAGUUCAGCACUUAAGUUCCCAAUAGUACACAUACAUGGCUAAAGCACUGUAUUUUUCCUGAAGGAGAAAUCUCAUCUUGUCUUUUUUAAUAAAAUGAUGGCUCAACCAUGAUUUCUCCUCAGUAACACUACUUUGCCAGAUGGUUCAGUUAUGACCUUUUUUCCCAUUCUGUUUGUCUGCUUUUUUUUUUUUUUUUUUUUUUUUUAACAUAACAGGAGGCUUCAGUCUCCAUUAAAAAAGUCCAAAUGUGCUUUAAUGAAUUAAUUGAGAGACAGGUUUUUAAAUAAUUUCUCAAAAAGAAAAACAACUGAGGAAACUCCCAGUGGAUUUGAAUCAAUAGAAUGAUCUCUGAAUAUAGAAAAAGAUGUCUCAGGAAUGACACAAUAUUUCUUAUUCAUUAUAUGUCAGUGAAGACCAAUAUUACCUGUUUUUUCUUCCCUUCCCUCCCCUCCUUCACCCCCCUUCACCUCAUCUCAAAGCUAAGUAGUAUUGUCUAGAAUUCAACAUCACUAAGGAUGGUGCAGUCACUGAGCUUGAGUGUUUUUCCUCCCCCUCUGUCUAUAUACACCACACACUGUAAUAUGAAAUAACAAUGUGCAAUGUUUUAUAUUUUUGCUAUUGUAGUAGAACCACUCAAUAUAAAUAGCAAUUUUCUCAGAAUACUGUGUCUUGCAAACAAAAAUAAGCAGAUCUCUUCAACUCAGUAACAUCUGUUAAGCAACACUUAUUUACUACAUCACUGUGUUCACAAGCAUCUCCUUGUGAUUAUUAAUAUCAUUGCUUGCAUAUGAUUUUAGUAUGCUAUAUACUUAUAAAAAGUACCCAUAGUGCUCAAAAAAAGAAAAAGAAAAGAAAAAAAGAAGGAUGAAUUGCUAUGUGAAGGCAGUCGAACAAGUUCUAAACUAAAGAGGAAGGAGAGGAGUAUACACUUACAUUGGCCAGGUUGUUUGGUUCGCUACUGGUUGCAUAAACAAACAUUUAGACAAAUGUAUUUCUUAAUCAUGAAUACGUACAGGUAAUGCAGUUUACUCUAACUUGUCUGACUUUCCUUCUAUUGCAUGCACUGCCCUCACGUGGCUGUUUUUUUCAUUAUAUGAAGCUAUUUCAUAUAUUAAAAGACCUCUAAAUGCACCUGUUUUAAUUCAGAGCUAUUGUUAAAUUCUGUAACUCACAGAUCUCUAGAUACAAGUUCUACUUAUGCUGUUUUGCUUGCCAAUAAUGUGUUCCAGAAUUUUACUGCUGAUAACUUUGUGGCAAAAAAAAUGAAAAGGAAGAUUACUGAGGGUUGCUCAGACAUACAUCUAAUGCAUUUGCAUAAAAAUAAGUUGGUGCUCAUUUUUAGUAAUGAAGGAAAAAAACACAUCUGUGUUCUUCUUAUUUCAAGCUCUCUCAGGUCCUGCGAAGGGACAGAGCAAAUGUGGGAGUUGAACCAACGCAGUAGUGGCUAACUAAUAAACGUUGUUUGAGGAAGUUCAAUUCCUGUCUGUUUUUUUUUUUAUUUCAUGUACAACAAACAAACAAAUAAAUAAAUAAUGAAAUGUUCACAUUUUGUUUAUAGAUGUGCAAAUUUAAACUCCAAAUAUAUAUAUUUUUUAUAUAUAGAUGAAGCGCUGCCAUCUAGUGGACACAUCGCAGUGAGCUCCCAUUUCUUUUCAAGAAGUAUUUUAAGCAAAUAAAAUCACACAUUAAAACUCUUCAUAGCUUUAAAAAUGAAAGAUACAAGAAAAGUAUUUUAAUGCUGUGUUUUUAUAAUCCCCAAAAGUACUUUUAAUUCAUGCUUAUAUUUUAUGUCACCAUAUGAAAGACAAAGCCACAAUAGAAGUCUUGUGCAAAAAUACCUGUAAUGAAAUAAAGGUUCAUUCCUGCUUCCAUGUAUCCAGCCCUAUCACUGAGAAUAAAGUUUCCUGCUGCUUAAUUGUAAGUCAGCAUCUCGGCUUUUCCCCUUGUUUGCUUUGAUCACAAAGGCAGCAAUGCAUACCUGAGUUUCCAGACAUCCUGGAACAAAUGCAGGAAGGAAUGAACUAUUUUGUUUACUACAAUAUGAGGUGUCGAUGCUAUUAAUAAUACUUCAAAUAUACACAGUAAUAAGUAAAAAUGUAACUCAGCGAUAUAAGAAUGAACAAAUACUGUAAAGACUGUAGGAAGUAUUUCUCACAGUGUAGUUAGGUAUGAAGUAAGAACAAAGAAUGAGUGGGGUGACAGACAUGUACAAGCCAGGAUGAUCCAGACCUUUAUGAAUAAAGGGUGUCCCUUACUGAUUUCUUUUUGCUGAGGAGUACCAGCCUUUGUCAGCAGUUUGUAAGGAAAUCACAGUGUAGGGGUGAGUCACUCACACAUGAGUACUCGCUGUAAUUAAUAACAGUGUUCAAGCAAGGUAAAACAGUAAAACAAUUCUUAGUUAUGCUUGAAGUUAAAUUGAUGUGACUAGGAAUUUACUCUAUCCAUUCACUUUUGCAAGGAUAAGUUGUAUUGUGGUUUAUAAUCAGCCAAAAUGUUUUAAUUUCUUAUGGUUUGG